UAUUGGUCAAUGGACGAGAGUCUGAACCAGCCAAGUAGCGUGGAGGAUGACUGCCCUAUGGGUUGUAAACUUCUUUCAUACGGGAAUAAAGUGAGGCACGUGUGCCUUUUUGUAUGUACCGUAUGAAUAAGGAUCGGCUAACUUCGUGCCAGCAGCCGCGGUAAUACGGAGGAUCCGAGCGUUAUCCGGAUUUAUUGGGUUUAAAGGGAGCGUAGGCGGACGCUUAAGUCAGUUGUGAAAGUUUGCGGCUCAACCGUAAAAUUGCAGUUGAUACUGGGUGUCUUGAGUACAGUAGAGGCAGGCGGAAUUCGUGGUGUAGCGGUGAAAUGCAUAGAUAUCACGAAGAACUCCGAUUGCGAAGGCAGCUUGCUGGACUGUAACUGACGCUGAUGCUCGAAAGUGUGGGUAUCAACCAGG
rnacentral:rRNA from 1 species